AACUGACCCACAGCUUGUUUGUAAAGACAAGCUCAUCAUUCCUUUCAGUGUGAUGUGUGGAGUUCAAUAGGGUUGCUUUUUAUUUAUGUUUAACUUUGCUGAUGUGAUAAGAACUGUUAGUGAAAGAGCAUAGCAUCUGUUUUUGCUGGUGGUUGUAUGGCGUGGCUUUUGUUUGUGUUACCUGUUUUGGGGUUUUUUUUGUUAGUGAGAUUAAACUUUAUUUUGGGGUUAAUUUGUGAUUAUUUUAAAGAUUUUAGUGCAAUUUAGGUUUUUGAUUUGGGGGUGCUGUGAUGAGACUGCUUUAUUUGUUUUAUGUGGUAUUGGUGGUGUGGAUAGAGGGAAUACUUGUUUUUAAAAUUUAUUUUAGUAUUGUUAGUUGAAGUGUUAGGAUGCAUUGUGUUUCAGUGUUGAAUCUUUUUGAGGUGGUUUGGAUUUUUUCUAGGUUAAGAUUUUUUUCCCUUGGCUGGUUCUAUUGAUCAUAUGGGUGGGAAUUUGAUGCUGUUUGUUUUUUUGUUUUUGUUUUUUUUUUUAGGAAUUGGAUUUUUGCAGUACACCCGGAAGAAUUUACUUUAUUUCAAAACAUACUAGUUUAAUCACAUAAAGAUUCCCAUAUUAACUCGUCAGUCUUUUAGAUUCUUUUUCUCAUUUAGGUUUUCCAGAAUUUACUGUUAAUUUAGCAAUCAAGCAGGGAUGGCACUUCGUUCUUGAAAAGAUGGCUAUGGAAAAACCUGUGUCUAACAACAUGUGCCUGACAGAGGGCAAUGAUUUUGCUGUUAUUACAGGGCCAAAUACGAGUGGCAAAUCAACUUUGGCAUGGAACUGCUGGAGGAGAGGAGUUUCUGGUGGGCUCCCAGUGGCAUCUGAUGGAGUGACGGUGAGAGCAUCUCAUAGGGUCUGGGGGAGCACGUGGAUGCACCUGGACGUGGAGCACUGCAUAAAGGAGGUGGUGAGGGACAAAGCUUUCUGCCAGGAAGCAGCACCUGAACAGCUGAGCCAGUGUGGAUUUGCAGGGGUGAUCUUUCUCCUUUUCCCUUUUGAUUUCAUCUUGGCAGUCCUUCCUCAGUGCCCUCAAUCUGUCACAAGAAUUCCAAAAAUAAAACGGCUGAGUGAACAGUGAAAA